GCUGAAAGCCUUUGUCACCAGAUCAUCAGGAGGCCCCUCUUAGGGAAUGUGGCAAGCACUAGCUGGGUCUACACAUCUCUUGACACUCAGAAAGGAUUAGGUGCCCUGGAUUUCAGACUUAGAAACUCGGGGUCAGCAUCGUCCAAUGCUUUGUUCAUUCACUUACUCGACUGAGGGAGAAAAGAGCUCUCGCCCCCCGGAAAGUAUUUUCAUGAACAUGAGGUUCAGUCUAUUAUCAUCACCAUUAUCAUCAUGGCAGGGAGCACGGCAUCACACAGGCAGACAUGGUGCUGGAGAAUGAGUAAGACUUCUACAUCUGGAUCCACAGGCAGCAGGAAGAGAGAGAGAGACACUGGGCCUGGAUUUAGUACUAAAAACCUCAAAUUCCACACCCAGUGACACACUUCCUCCAACAAGGCCAUUCCACCUAACCCUUCAAGCAAUGCCACUCCCUGAUGACUAAUCUUUCAAAGAUAUGAGCCUGUGGGGGCCAUCCUUAUUUGAAUCAACACAGCCACCAUGUCAAGUGACUCUUGCCCUGUCUCUGGCUUUUGAAUUGUUAGACAUGAACCCAGUGUCUGUGUGAGAAAAUGAAGAAUGC
rnacentral:lncRNA from 1 species